rnacentral:rRNA from 1 species
UGCAUGUCUCAGUGCAAGCCAAAUUAAGGUGAAACCGCAAAUGGCUCAUUAAAUCAGUUAUGGUUCAUUAGAUGAUACACCACAUUACUUGGAUAACUGUGGUAAUUCUAGAGCUAAUACAUGCAAACAGAGUACCAACCGGUGACGGUAGGUGCGCUUUUAUUAGAUCAAAACCAAUACGUUCGUUUCGGCGAACGAUCUCAUUGGUGACUCUGAAUAACUUUUAGUUGAUCGCAUGGUCUUUGUACCGGCGACAAAUCUUUCAAAUGUCUGCCUUAUCAACUGUCGAUGGUAGGCUCUGCGCCUACCAUGGUUGUAACGGGUAACGGGGAAUCAGGGUUCGAUUCCGGAGAGGGAGCCUGAGAAACGGCUACCACAUCCAAGGAAGGCAGCAGGCGCGCAAAUUACCCACUCCCGGCACGGGGAGGUAGUGACGAAAAAUAACGAUACGGGACUCAUCCGAGGCCCCGUAAUCGGAAUGAGCACACUUUAAAUACUUUAACAAGUAUCCAUUGGAGGGCAAGUCUGGUGCCAGCAGCCGCGGUAAUUCCAG